GUUUUAUCCCUUUUUGUUGUCUCCGUCGCGAAAUCGUCGAUUAGGGUUUUUUUACGAACACAGAGUAACAUCGUCCCCCUUUUCCCGCCAUGAGAGCCAAGUGGAAAAAGAAGCGUAUGAGAAGGUUGAAGAGGAAGAGAAGAAAGAUGAGACAGAGAUCCAAGUAGAACCAGAUAACGGCUUCGCUCUUCCUCCUGUUCGCUCGGCUUUUGUCCGCUCUUGUUCUCGGUUUCUCUGUUUCGAUUUGUCUGGACUCGUUUAGUUUCUAGUUUUCUGGGCGACACUGUUGUUGGAUGAUUUCAAUCAUUUAUUUGUGUUCGCUUUCGUUUUGAAUUUUCAUAUAAGCUUCGGUUACCAUUCUGCUUUUGCUUAUU